rnacentral:rRNA from 1 species
AAUAGAUACCCCGGUAGUCCACGCCGUAAACGAUGGAUACUAGCUGUUUGAGCGCAAGUUUGAGUGGCUAAGCGAAAGUGAUAAGUAUCCCACCUGGGGAGUACGGGCGCAAGCCUGAAACUCAAAGGAAUUGACGGGGGCCCGCACAAGCGGUGGAGCAUGUGGUUUAAUUCGAUGAUACGCGAGGAACCUUACCAGGGCUUAAAUGUAGAUUGACGUAUUUGGAAACAGAUAUUUCUUCGGACAAUUUACAAGGUGCUGCAUGGUUGUCGUCAGCUCGUGCCGUGAGGUGUCAGGUUAAGUCCUAUAACGAGCGCAACCCCUGUUGUUAGUUGCCAGCGAGUAAUGUCGGGAACUCUAGCAAGACUGCCAGUGUAAACUGUGAGGAAGGUGGGGAUGACGUCAAAUCAUCACGGCCCUUACGUCCUGGGCCACACACGUGCUACAAUGGCCGGUACAGAGAGCAGCCACUUAGCGAUAAGGAGCGAAUCUAUAAAGCCGGUCACAGUUCGGAUCGGAGUCUGCAACG